CCAUUACAACCAAAAACCCAAUAACCUAGCCUAAUAACACACAAGCCCAAUGCCUGUUUUCAGAAAAAAAAAUAAUAAAAAAAUAAAGGAGGCAGCAACCUAACUCUUGACCUGCCAGCCACCACCACCAAGGUCAUGUCACCGCCCACUACUUGCACAGCCUUUAUCUGCAAACAAUAAAAGAAGCAGCACCAACAGCAAAAACAAGGGCUAUAAAAAGCCGAAAUACAAUGUAAAAAAUCUCUCUGGCUUCAAAAACACGAAUAUUGUUUUAAGAAAUAAAAAGCAAAAAUAGAUUCAAGGUGAUUCCUUUUUUCUUUUCGGCAUAAGAUUUAUAUUUAUUUUGAUUUUUUUCCUUUUUUACGCAUAUAAACGAAAAUAAUAAAUAAGAGAGGAAGGACUUACUGGAGACGCCUUGUGACCGCACUGCCGGAGGGUGGUUCUUCAUCACCGAGCCCGAACCGAGAGAGGGUGUGGGGAUCUUUCCCUUUGACCAUUGGGCCAUGAAGGCUCAGCCUUUAUUUGGAUUUUGAAGUGGGGUUUAAAAAACCCAUUUUUUUGUGGCUCUGACCACUGCUUGCGGCAGAGCCACGGCGGCCAACACGGCAGCCAUCGGUCAGAGCUAGGACCGGGGUAGAGGGCUUUUGAGAGAAAAACCCUCACUUUGUG
rnacentral:lncRNA from 1 species